CAAGGCUUGACAUAUACGAGAACGGGCCAGAAAUGGUCAACUCUUUGGACACUCGUAAACAGGUGGUGCAUGGUUGUCGUCAGCUCGUGUCGUGAGAUGUUGGGUUAAGUCCCGCAACAAGCGCAACCCUUUUCCUUAUUUGCCAGCGGGUUAAGCCGGGAACUUUAAGGAUACUGCCAGUGACAAACUGGAGGAAGGCGGGGACGACGUCAAGUCAUCAUGGCCCUUACGGCCAGGGCUACACACGUGCUACAAUGGUCGGUACAAAGGGUUGCUACCUAGCGAUAGGAUGCUAAUCUCAAAAAGCCGAUCGUAGUCCGGAUUGGAGUCUGCAACUCGACUCCAUGAAGUCGGAAUCGCUAGUAAUCGUGGAUCAGAAUGCCACGGUGAAUACGUUCCC
rnacentral:rRNA from 1 species